UAUUAAAAAUUUCAUCCAUUUGUACAGUAUUAAAAAUUAACAUGACUGAUGAAAUAACCAAAUAGUGACACCUAAUGCUUCAUGUGCACCUCAUGCUGAUGUACAGAAACUAGUUUUGAAUAAUAGAAAUGGAUGAAAUUUUUAACA
rfam:Gossypium hirsutum cultivar TM-1 unplaced genomic scaffold scaffold1464.1, whole genome shotgun sequence